rnacentral:rRNA from 1 species
CAAUAGCGUAUAUUUAAGUUGUUGCAGUUAAAAAGCUCGUAGUUGGAUUUCUGUUGAGGUCGAACAGUGCCGCCCUAUGGGUGCGCAACUGGCUCGGCUUCGGCAUCUUCUUGGAGAGCGCAUCUGCACUUAACUGUGUGGAUCGUACUUCAAGUCAGUUACUUUGAGGAAUUGUGAGUGUUUCAAGCAGGCUUACGCCGUUGAAUCCGUUAGCAUGGAAUAGUAGGAUAGGACCUCGGUUCUAUUUUGUUGGUUUUGAGAGCUGGGGCAGCGAUUGAUAGGGACGGAUGGGGGCGUCCGAACUUUACUGUCAGAGGUGAAAUUCUUAGAUCGGUCAAAGGCGAACUACUGCGAACGCAUUCGCCAAGAAUGUUUUCUUUA